GAUGAACGCUGGCGGCGUGCCUAAUACAUGCAAGUCGAGCGAACGGACGAGAAGCUUGCUUUUCUGAUGUUAGCGGCGGACGGGCGAGUAACACGUGUAUAACCUACCUAUAAGACUGGGAUAACUUCGGGAAACCGGAGCUAAUACCGGAUAAUAUUUUGAACCGCAUGGUUCAAAAGUGAAAGACGGUCUUGCUGUCACGUAUAGAUGGAUCCGCGCUGCAUUAGCUAGUUGGUAAGGUAACGGCUUACCAAGGCAACGAUGCAUAGCCGACCUGAGAGAGUGAUCGGCCACCCUGGAACGGAGACAGGGUCCAGACUCCCAGGGGAGGCAGCAGUCGGGAAUCUUCCGCAAUGGGCGAAAGCCUGACGGAGCAACGCCGAGUGAGUGAUGAAGGUCUUCGGAUCGUAAAACUCUGUUAUUAGGGAAGAACAUAUGUGUAAGUAACUGUGCACAUCUUGACGGUACCUAAUCAGAAAGCCACGGCUAACUACGUG
rnacentral:rRNA from 1 species